AGAAAAGCAAACUCUAUUUUCAGUGAAACUAGAAAAUAAUAUGUCAAGUAGGUGGAGAAGUUUCCAAAAGCAGUGGAAACCAAGCAGGGCACGUGUAGGAAAAGGCAGAGAACGAGAGAGAGGUCCAAAGCUACAGAUCUCAGAAAUAGCCAGCAAAACACACACUUCUCAAAGGUGAGGGGUUUACCUUGAGAAGCAAUAUGUAUUUCUGUUGUGUGCCAUCUUGGGAAUAGAACAACCAGGCUGGUGACAAGGGCAUCUCACAACCAAGUUAGAUUCUGUGAUGCAAAAAACAGGUCACUCUUCUAAAGAUAACAAUGAUCAAAUCUGGACGAAAUAUAAAAAACAAGUACUUGCAGGUGUUUUAGUGUAACCGAGAGCAGGUGGAUUCUUGUGGGGUGUUGAGCUUUGGAAGAAUGGAACAGCACCAGUGUAAUGACCUUUGCCAGGUUAUGCCACAGCAAGAAGACUCUCACCAGAUGCCAGUGCCAUGCUGUUGGACUUCCCAGCCUCCAGAACUGUAAGAAAUGAAUCUCUGUUCUUUAUAAAUUACCCAGCCUCAGGUAUUCAGUUACAGUAACACAAAACAGACUAAGAAAUGUAUCUUUGGCAAUCUGGUGAAGCUAAUGACCAAUUUUGGGAAUAAUGG
rnacentral:lncRNA from 10 species